CGUUAGGAUGAACGCUAGCGACAGGCCUAACACAUGCAAGUCGAGGGCAGCACAAGGAGCAAUCUGAGGUGGCGACCGGUGCACGGGUGAGUAACACGUAUGCAACCUGCCUGUAAGCGGGGAAUAACCCGUUGAAAGACGGACUAAUACCGCAUAAUACUAAAUUACUGCAUGGUAAUUUAUUUAAACAUUUAUGGCUUACAGAUGGGCAUGCGCAUGAUUAGCUAGUUGGAGAGGUAACGGCUCCCCAAGGCAACGAUCAUUAGGGGUUCUGAGAGGAAGGUCCCCCACACUGGUACUGAGACACGGACCAGACUCCUACGGGAGGCAGCAGUGAGGAAUAUUGGUCAAUGGACGAGAGUCUGAACCAGCCAAGUCGCGUGCAGGAAGAAUGUCCUAUGGAUUGUAAACUGCUUUUGCAGGGGAAUAAAGUGCAUCACGUGUGAUGUUUUGUAUGUACUCUGCGAAUAAGGAUCGGCUAACUCCGUGCCAGCAGCUGC
rnacentral:rRNA from 1 species